rnacentral:rRNA from 1 species
AAAAUGAAUCAAAACUUUCAACAACGGAUCUCUUGGUUCUGGCAUCGAUGAAGAACGCAGCGAAAUGCGAUAAGUAAUGUGAAUUGCAGAAUUCAGUGAAUCAUCGAAUCUUUGAA